GUUUUAUUUGCUAUCUUUUACGUAUACACAAUACAGAAGAUCUCAUCGACAUCACAGGAGCUGGCGUGGAUCCAGCCGACUACGCUGAAGCCUUCGAAAGAUUGGGGUGAACGCAUGUGUAAGGAGGUUGGGGGCAUGGUUAACAACGGUGGAACCCGUGAAAGCAGCAACCAAGUAGCCUUGCUUAGGCCCAGCAAGUGCCCGACUGCUAGGACGGAUCAAUAUCCCACUCGUGCAGUAACUAGUAGUAAGUGGGACCUUCGAACGGCUCUGGUGUCCUCAGCCUUGCAAACUGUUGACAUCGUGUGGGUAAAGCUGGACAGUCUCUGCAGAGGUGAAUUAAAUCAUUUGAAUGUCCGUACUCCCGAUUCUGGAGUUGUGUCAUAAGGGUGAUUCC
rnacentral:lncRNA from 1 species